ACUGGUCAAAUAUCCGUGAAACAUUCAUCGAACGCUGUUUACAUAGGUUAUAUCACUCUGCAAAAAUCAAUACAAAAGUAUUAAUAAACUUUGAUAAUGUGGCAGUUGACCUCAAUUCAAUCGACACUGUUUAUUUUCCAGUACAGGUAAAUCCAAUAUUUGCUUUACAAUAGAUCUAUGACGGAUUAUCUUUGAACACCCCUGGUCUUAUUGGACUCAACUGCCACAUUAUCAAAGUUUAUUAGUAGAUCCUCUGGGGUUUUUUUUAACAUUUAAAAUCUAUUGAAGCAUGUUUCAUAACAAAAUGUUAAUCGAAAUAAAUUACGUAUGUAUUAAAUGGUAUUAUGUUAGGCAUAAUAUCUUUACUUUAUUUAUUCUCUAACAGAUGAAAAAAAAAUCAAACCACUUUGUACUUUUGAAGUACGUGUACAUAUAUGGCGUUCUUUUUCAGCUCGGGAUGAGUAAAAUGUCUGCCACACCACUUGUAGUACUGGCACUUGUGUUGGCCCUGGCAAUAGGGGGAGUGGCGCAAUGUGAUCCUCCUCCCGGAAGGACAAACGGUUGCAGCCCUAAAUGGUUAUAUUACCCCUAUAAAUACUUUUUCAGGCCAGAGUGUAAUAAACAUGUUGUCUGCUAUGCCUGUGGCAACCGCAAUUGGAUGUCCAGAGAAGUAUGUGAUGACAUAUUUCUCGACAACCUCGAAUCGCGCUGCAGAACAGACCCAGAAGAGAGGGACGACCCAGAUAAAUGUCUUAGGUGGUCGGAAAUAAUUUAUAACGCUGUUCGUGAUCAUGGUGAAGGUCACUAUGAAAUCCCAUCGCUAGACUGGUGCGGUGAAGACUGGGUUGAUGGUUGCCUAUAAAAUGUAUUUACGGCUUCGCUAAAGAUUUGAUGUUACCCUUGCUAUCAGUUUAACAUUAAUUACCUUCCUGUAGACGAGCAUUUAUAUAGCAACUGUAACCAUACGAGACCAUCAACACGAACAAUUUUGUUGCAAACCUGAACAUUCACAUUACUGAAUUCUUAAAUACUUGAAACUUGUGUUGCAUAUCUAAUAUAUAUACUAUUAGGUUAUUUAAUAUUGUUCUGUACAAUACGGAGAUAUAUUUGGACGAGUACCCAGCUGAGAAAACCAUAUGGUUUUGGUUUUCUCAGCUGGGUACGAGUCCAAAUAUAUCUCGUAUUGUACAGUACAAUGUAAAAUAACCUUUUUAUUCUAUAUCUAUUUUAUCUAGUUUAAAUUAAAAAUGUUUCACUGAAUAUUGUAUUCCUGUCUUUUCUGUAUUUUCCCAGCUUGGUAUGAGUGCAAAUAUAUAUUAUACAGAACAAUGUUAGGCCCUAAAUAACCUUUUUUUAUUCUAUAUUUAUUUCACUUCAUACGUAAUAUACGUAAUUCAUUGAAUGUUGUUUUUCUGCUUAUCAGUAUUAACUAAAUUACCUGUAUAUGGUGCAACCUCGCUACAACAGCCAUUUGGCGAUCUGGGUGGUUAUAAUACUUGGCUGAGAUAUUACGCCCACAAACAUUGUCAGCAAGUUUGGUGAAGAUCCGAUGAAAACUGAAUUAGAGCGGACAUGUUUUGGAUGCCGACCGCCCGCCCGCUGCCACGGGUGUUCACAUUAUACGCCGAGAUAUUAUGCCCACAAACAUUGUCAGGAAGUUUGGUGAAGAUCGGAUAAAAAAUGUUGGAUUUAGAGAGCGGACAAGGCUAAAUUGGCAGUUUUCCUGUACGGAUUGUCUAGAGGUCCGGUUACCAGACCCCUAGCCACUGCCAUUCAAAAUUUUCUCAACCUGUGACAAAAUAAUAGAUUUUUCCAAUCAAUAAGACUUUCUUCCAAUUAUAUCUGUAUAGAUCUAUAUCUAUAUAAUUUAUAUUUUGGAAUACCUGUUCUUCUUCUUCUGAAACUUGUUCUAAAUCAGAUAGCAUUGCCAUCACUUGAAUGGUUUUUGUGUGUUGUAAACAAACAAACGACAAUUAAAUCCUGAUUUCAAGAUGAUAAUCAAACUCUGUACAUAGAGCGCCUAAUUCAUCUGAUUUACAUUCGGAACAUUUUCACGCGUUUCAGGCUUUAUCGUAUGUUUAACAUGGGACUGUUGAACCGUCCAAAUACAGAAAAUACAUGAUUUUUUGUACGCACGUGCGUCCAAAUACCGUAAUAUAUUGUACGGUCACGUGUUGCAAAUGAACGUUCGUGAUUGGAUAGAUAAAAUAGAUAUAGAAUAAUAUUGGGUCUUUCUUUUGUCUUUUGAAGACCCAAUAAAUACCUAGAACAAAAGAAAAAAAACAUAAUAAGUAGGUAGAGACCCAACUUUUACAAAAUGAAUAUUAUUGUAGACCCAACAAGUUAGAAAAAAAUGGGUCUAGACAUAUAUAUAUAUAUAGUUUGUUGUCACAAAAUUAUUUUGAUAACGGUAGAAGUCAAAGAAAGCUCUGCUUUGUCAUGUUUAUUAGAGUACUUCCUUAGUAGAUACACAAACGAUGUUUAGUUAUAUUUGUAUAUCUAUAUGACUGUAACAGUUUUGAUUGUUAAUACAAAUACAUGUAGUUCGUAAUUUGUACAAAGUCAUACACUUAAUAACUAAUGGUUUGAUAAAAAGUAAUAAAAUAUAUAUACAACUGUAA